GAAAUGCGAUACGUAGUGUGAAUUGCAGAAUUCAGUGAACCAUCGAAUCUUUGAACGCACAUUGCGCCCCUUGGUAUUCCGAGGGGCAUGCCUGUCCGAGCGUCAUUUCACCAAUCAAGCCCCGCUUGGUAUUAGGCGAGGCCCUCUGCGGGCCCGCCUCAAAGGCAUCGGCGAGGAGGACGACCCCCUGCGUGUUGAAAUCUUUAACGAGAGACGCAGGGAGCACCGACCGACUCCGCCGCGAGAUGACGGCGCGCCCCCCCGGGGAGCGCCCGAACAACCCAAAGGUUGACCUCGGAUCAGGUAGGAAUACCCGCUGAACUUAA
rnacentral:misc_RNA from 1 species